GAGUAAUGUCUGGGAAACUGCCUGAUGGAGGGGGAUAACUACUGGAAACGGUGGCUAAUACCGCAUAACGUCGCAAGACCAAAGAGGGGGACCUUCGGGCCUCUUGCCAUCAGAUGUGCCCAGAUGGGAUUAGCUUGUUGGUGAGGUAACGGCUCACCAAGGCGACGAUCCCUAGCUGGUCUGAGAGGAUGACCAGCCACACUGGAACUGAGACACGGUCCAGACUCCUACGGGAGGCAGCAGUGGGGAAUAUUGCACAAUGGGCGCAAGCCUGAUGCAGCCAUGCCGCGUGUAUGAAGAAGGCCUUCGGGUUGUAAAGUACUUUCAGCGGGGAGGAAGGUGUUGUGGUUAAUAACCGCAGCAAUUGACGUUACCCGCAGAAGAAGCACCGGCUAACUCCGUGCCAGCAGCCGCGGUAAUACGGAGGGUGCAAGCGUUAAUCGGAAUUACUGGGCGUAAAGCGCACGCAGGCGGUCUGUCAAGUCGGAUGUGAAAUCCCCGGGCUCAACCUGGGAACUGCAUUCGAAACUGGCAGGCUUGAGUCUUGUAGAGGGGGGUAGAAUUCCAGGUGUAGCGGUGAAAUGCGUAGAGAUCUGGAGGAAUACCGGUGGCGAAGGCGGCCCCCUGGACAAAGACUGACGCUCAGGUGCGAAAGCGUGGGGAGCAAACAGGAUUAGAUACCCUGGUAGUCCACGCCGUAAACGAUGUCUACUUGGAGGUUGUGCCCUUGAGGCGUGGCUUCCGGAGCUAACGCGUUAAGUAGACCGCCUGGGGAGUACGGCCGCAAGGUUAAAACUCAAAUGAAUUGACGGGGGCCCGCACAAGCGGUGGAGCAUGUGGUUUAAUUCGAUGCAACGCGAAGAACCUUACCUGGUCUUGACAUCCACAGAAGAAUCCAGAGAUGGAUUUGUGCCUUCGGGAACUGUGAGACAGGUGCUGCAUGGCUGUCGUCAGCUCGUGUUGUGAAAUGUUGGGUUAAGUCCCGCAACGAGCGCAAC
rnacentral:rRNA from 8 species